UACGGGGGGAGCAAGCGUUGUUCGGAUUUACUGGGCGUAAAGGGCGCGUAGGCGGUCAGCACAAGUCAGUUGUGAAAUCUCCGGGCUUAACUCGGAAAGGUCAACUGAUACUGUGCGACUAGAGUGCAGAAGGGGCAACUGGAAUUCUCGGUGCAGCGGUGAAAUGCGUAGAUAUCGAGAGGAACACCUGCGGCGAAGCGGGUUGCUGGCUGACACUGACGCUGAUGCGCGAAAGCCAGGGGAGCGAACGGG
rnacentral:rRNA from 1 species